GAUGAACGCUGACAGAAUGCUUAACACAUGCAAGUCAACUUGAACUUCGGUUUGGGUGGCGGACGGGUGAGUAACGCGUAAAGAACUUGCCUCACAGCUAGGGACAACAUUUGGAAACGAAUGCUAAUACCUGAUAUUAUGAUUUUAGGGCAUCCUAGAAUUAUGAAAGCUAUAUGCGCUGUGAGAGAGCUUUGCGUCCCAUUAGCUAGUUGGAGAGGUAACGGCUCACCAAGGCGAUGAUGGGUAGCCGGCCUGAGAGGGUGAACGGCCACAAGGGGACUGAGACACGGCCCUUACUCCUACGGGAGGCAGCAGUGGGGAAUAUGGGACAAUGGACCAAGAGUCUGAUCAAGCAAUUCUGUGUGCACGAUGAAGUUUUUCGGAAUGUAAAGUGCUUUCAGUUGGGAAGAAAAAAAUGACGGUACCAACAGAAGAAGUGACGGCUAAAUACGUG
rnacentral:rRNA from 1 species